UUUUUUAAGAGUUUGAUCCUGGCUCAGGAUGAAUGCUAGCAGUGCGCCUGAGAUAUGCAAGUCGAGCGUUGCCCCGAUGAGGUCGUAAGACUGAAUCGGGGAAGCGGCGGACGGCUGAGUAACACGUAGGAACCUACCCCUAGGUAAGGGAUAGCUCACCGAAAGGUGGGGUAAUACCUUAUGGUCCAGGUACCGUCUGGUACCUGGUAAAGUCUUCGGACGCCAAGGGAUGGUCCUGCGGCCUAUCAGAUAGUUGGUGCGGGUAACGGCCCACCAAGUCUAUGACGGGUAGCUGGCCUCAUGAGGGUGGUCAGCCAGAGGGGGACUGAGACACGGCCCCCACUCCUACGGGAGGCAGCAAUCAGGAAUCGUCGGCAAUGGGGGAAACCCUGACCGCGCGACACUGCGUGUAGGAUGAAGCUCUAACGAGUGUAAACUACUGUGGUAGAGGAAGAAGACAGGUACCGUCUGGUACCUGUUUGACGGUACUCUACUAGAAAGGGGCCGCUAACUGCGUGCCAGAAGCGUCGGUAAUACGUGGGCCUCAAGCAUUAUCCGGUUUAAUUGGGCGUAAAGGGUCGUGUAGGCGGAUACAUAAGUUAUCUUUUAAAUUCAGAGGCUCAACCUCUGGCAUGGGGAUAAUACUGUGUGUCUAGAGUUUCCUUUAGGGUAAGCGGAACUGAGUGAGGAGUAGUGAAAUGCGUUGAUACACUCGGGAACACCAGUGGCGAAGGCGGCUUACUGGAAGGAAACUGACGCUGAGACACGAAAGCUAGGGUAGCGAAGCAGAUUAGAGACCUGCGUAGUCCUAGCCCUAAACGAAUGUUCGCUAGCUGCAUGAAUUGAUUUAUCAACUCGUGUAGCGUAGGUAACCCGUUAAGCGAACCGCCUGGGGAGUACGGCCGCAAGGCUAAAACUCAAAGGAAUUGGCGGGGAGGCACACAACCAGUGGAACAUGUGGCUUAAUUCGAUACAAAACGAAGAACCUCACCAGGGUUUGACAUCCCGCCUCAUGUUCCCUUCGAAAGAAGGGAACUGCGCAAGCUCGGCGGGACAGGUGUUGCAUGGCUGUCGUCAGUUCGUUCCGUGAGGAGUGCCCUUAAGUGGGACAACGAACGCAACCCCCAUCGUAUGUUACAAGUGUCAUACGAAACUGCCCCGCCCUAGGCGGGGAGGAAGGAGGGGCAGAUGUCAAGUCAGCAUGACCCUUAUACCCUGGGCUGCACACAUGUUACAAUGGGAAGGACAAUGGGUUUUGCAAGCCAGCGAUGGCAAGCCAACCUCAUAAACCUUCUCUCAGUUGGGAUUGAAGUCUGCAAUUCGACUUCAUGAACUUGGAAUUGGUAGUAAUCGCGGGUCAGCUAUACCGCGGUGAAUACGUUCUUGCCUCUUGCACACACCGCCCGUCAAGCCAACAAAGUCGUUGGUAUUUGAACCUCGAUUUGAUCGGGGGAGAGUACUGAUGGCGAUGAGGGUUAAGUCGUAACAAGGUAUCCCUACUGGAAGGUGGGGAUGGAUCACCUCCUUU
rnacentral:rRNA from 1 species